rnacentral:rRNA from 1 species
GAAUCCCGUCUUUGACAUGGACUCCCGGUGCUUAAUAGGUGUGCUCUCGAAGAGUCGAGUUGUUUGGGAAUGCAGCUCAAAAUGGGUGGUAAAUGCCAUCUAAAGCUAAAUAUUGGCGAGAGACCGAUAGCGAACAAGUACCGUGAGGGAAAGAUGAAAAGAACUUUGGAAAGAGAGUUAAACAGUACGUGAAAUUGCUGAAAGGGAAACGCUUGAAGUCAGUCGCGUCGGUUGGAAAUCAACCUUGCUUUUGCUGGGUGUACUUUCCGUCCGACGGGUCAGCAUCAAUUUUGGCUGCUGGAUAAAGUUCUUUGGGAAUGUGGCAUCCUCGGAUGUGUUAUAGCCCUCGGGACAUAUGCAGCUGCUGGGAUUGAGGAACUCAGCACGCCUCUUUGGCUGGGCUUUGUCCACACGAACGUGCCUAGGAUGCUGGCAUAAUGGCUUUAAUCGACCCGUCUUGAAACACGGACCAAGGAGUCUAACAUGCCUGCGAGUGUUUGAGUGGAAAACUCAUGCGCGCAAUGAAAGUGAUAGUUGAGAUCCCUGUCAUGGGGAGCAUCGAUGCCCAGACCAGACCUUCUGUGACGGAUCUGCGGUAGAGCAGGCAUGUUGGGACCCGAAAGAUGGUGAACUAUGCCUGAAUAGGGUGAAGCCAGAGGAAACUCUGGUGGAGGCUCGUAGCGAUUCUGACGUGCAAAUCGAUCGUCAAAUUUGGGUAUAGGGGCGAAAGACUAAUCGAACCAUCUAGUAGCUGGUUCCUGCC